rnacentral:rRNA from 1 species
AGCCCUACGGGACGCAGCAGUGGGGGAUAUUGCACAAUGGGGGGAACCCUGAUGCAGCGACGCCGCGUGGGUGAAGAAGCGCCUCGGCGCGUAAAGCCCUGUCAGCAGGGAAGAAAAUGACGGUACCUGAAGAAGAAGCCCCGGCUAACUACGUGCCAGCAGCCGCGGUAAUACGUAGGGGGCGAGCGUUAUCCGGAUUCACUGGGUGUAAAGGGAGCGUAGACGGCCGUGCAAGCCAGGAGUGAAAGCCCGGGGCCCAACCCCGGGACUGCUCUUGGAACUGUGCGGCUGGAGUGCGGGAGGGG